AUGACGGCAGCCGGUCAGUGGAGCUGCAGGAGCUUCUGGAUCGGACCAAUCAGAAGCUGGUUCAGAGCCGCGAGAGAUUAGGCACACUCAGUACACGCGUGGCAGAGCUGGAGGCGGAGCUAGCCAACACUCGCCGAGACCUGAGUCGCAGCGAAGAGCUGUCAAUCAAACAACAGAGGGAACAGAGAGAGGGGCUGGCGCAGAGGGAGGAUAUGGAGGAGCGGAUUACAACGUUAGAAAACGUUACCUGGCCGCUCAGAGGGAAACCACACACAUCCAUGACCUGAACGACAAACUGGAGAACCAACUGGCUACCAAGGACUCUCUGCACCGACAGGUAACACACAUUCACACACACAUAUGCACACCCCGGGGGAGUUACAUGGGGGUCAAUACUGGUUUACAGAAAGAGGGAACGGGGUGAGGUAAGGGACACACACAGGGGGUGAAGGAGGGUUCAUCAGCCGUUCAGUAGAAGGUGAAGUUGAGUUCAGCUCCACUGGACCAGAGUAUGUGAGGGUGACACAUCCAUUAGUACCUCAGAGACAUCGUCAGGGACAGGCCUGGUAAGGUUCCGUCUAUCACACACACACUCACACAGACACACUAACACUCACACACUCACACUCACACACUCACACUCACACACUCACACACACACACUCACACAGACACACUCACACACUCACACAGACACACUCACACAGACACACACUCACACAGACACACACACACACACUCACACAGACACACUCACACAGACACACUCACCAACAAAUAUCAAGGGCUUCCCAGCUAACAAUUAUAGGGAGAGAGAACGUUUUGUAAUGUUUCCCGUAAUGUUCCCCCAAUGUUUGAGUGUCCAGUUUGAGUAACAUUCUAUGAUCGCAAAAACCUUCUGAGAACCUUUUUAGGAUGUUUUGGCGUUAAAGUUAUGAGUUAAAGUUAAAGUUAAUGUUAAGCAGAACAAACACAUCACGUAAAAUAGUUACCAUGUUCACAGAAUAUACAAUAUUAAUGUUCUAGUCACAUUUCAUGGGACGUUGCAAGAACAUUCAUGUGUCCAGUUUUCUGAGGUUUGGGAGAAUAUUCCAUCAAUGUCCAACCAAACAUACACAGAACAUGGUAGCCAUGUUCUCAUAACAUAAUAUAUUCAUGUUCUAGACACCAUGUUCUUUGUAUGUUUUUGGUGACGUUGAUGGAAUACUCGUGAC
rnacentral:lncRNA from 8 species